GAUGAACGCUGGCGGCGUGCCUAAUACAUGCAAGUCGAGCGAACAGACGAGGAGCUUGCUCCUCUGACGUUAGCGGCGGACGGGUGAGUAACACGUGGAUAACCUACCUAUAAGACUGGGAUAACUUCGGGAAACCGGAGCUAAUACCGGAUAAUAUAUUGAACCGCAUGGUUCAAUAGUGAAAGACGGUUUUGCUGUCACUUAUCGAUGGAUCCGCGCCGCAUUAGCUAGUUGGUAAGGUAACGGCUUACCAAGGCGACGAUGCGUAGCCGACCUGAGAGGGUGAUCGGCCACACUGGAACUGAGACACGGUCCAGACUCCUAAGGGAGGCAGCAGUAGGGAAUCUUCCGCAAUGGGCGAAAGCUUGACGGAGCAACGCCGCGUGAGUGAUGAAGGUCUUCGGAUCGUAAAACUCUGUUAUUAGGGAAGAACAAAUGUGUAAGUAACUAUGCACGUCUUGACGGUACCUAAUCAGAAAGCCACGGCUAACUACGUG
rnacentral:rRNA from 1 species